rnacentral:lncRNA from 1 species
CGCUGCUAUAAAUGCUUAAGAGUGAUGUACAUACAAAACAAAGCAUUGGGUGUUAAAUUAGUAGUUUUAUUCAUAAUGCGCGCAAUAUAUUGACACGGGGCAGCUAACAUCACAUCCUAUUGCAGCUGGCCUAUGUCUGCAAAACUUGAUUAUGUUCUAUACAAACCGUCAUAAAAUGGAACUUGUAAAUGGACACUUGUCUUCGUUUUCCUCGAAUUGUAUGCCCACUGAUGUAAAUUUGCGUUAGUGAUUUUUUGACAAAUCAUUCAACGUUGCAAAAACAACGCAUUUUCAUUUGGGUGCAUCAUCUUCCCUUGAAGCUAUUAGAUGGUAUGCUCUUAAAUUAUGCAACGAUCUUGUAAGUUGAGCGCUACACACCACAUUGGUCAUUACUAAACUCUUGGAGGGGUUAUAUAUAUAUCCAAGUUAACUUACCUUUAGUACGACUGAUAAUUAAAUUUAAUUAAGUAUUUUCCACUUGUUGUCAAGCAAGUACUUAUCAAUCUUACGAUGGACUAACUUCCACAGUUUUGAACUGUGUGCUUUGAAUUUUUAUCAAUUUGAAAUCAAAAUAAACUCCGGUGUUCAAUUCUCUUAUUAAACACGAAGAUCAGUAGUCGACAGGAACCAGAACUACGGAGGCCAAUCAGCUAGCACAAAGUUUAAACAACAUAACAUUAUGAUAGAAGCGAACUUUGGCCAUAUGGUUCAGAGAAGAAUGAUUGAAUACAACUUGUAUAAAGAUUGGAAGUUACCCUAUAAACA